rnacentral:misc_RNA from 1 species
AACGAGGCCGACCUGCGGCUGAGUUACCUGCGGAGGGAUCAUUACAGAGAAUUUGCCCUUCGGGGUAUAUCUCCCACCCUUUGUUUACAAUACCAUGUUGCUUUGGCAGGCCCGUCUUCUAGACCACUGGCCUUGGCUGGUCCGUGCCUGCCAGAGGAUAAAAAACCCUAUAUAUUUGUGUUUCUGAGCUCUAAGUAUCAAUAGUUAAAACUUUCAACAACGGAUCUCAGAUCGGAAGAG